rnacentral:rRNA from 1 species
GUCCACGCCGUAAACGGUGGAUGCUGGAUGUGGGGACCAUUCCACGGUCUCCGUGUCGGAGCCAACGCGUUAAGCAUCCCGCCUGGGGAGUACGGCCGCAAGGCUAAAACUCAAAGAAAUUGACGGGGGCCCCGCACAAGCGGCGGAGCAUGCGGAUUAAUUCGAUGCAACGCGAAGAACCUUACCUGGGCUUGACAUGUUCCCGACAGCCCCAGAGAUGGGGCCUCCCUUCGGGGCGGGUUCACAGGUGGUGCAUGGUCGUCGU